rnacentral:rRNA from 1 species
UACGGGGGGGGCAAGCGUUGUUCGGAAUUACUGGGCGUAAAGGGCUCGUAGGCGGCCAACUAAGUCGGAUGUGAAAUCCCCAGGCUCAACUUGGGAACUGCAUCCGAUACUGGAUGGCUUGAAUUCGGGAGAGGGAUGCAGAAUUCCAGGUGUAGCGGUGAAAUGCGUAGAUAUCUGGAGGAACAUCUGUGGCGAAGGCGGCCAUCUGGACCAGCACUGACACUGAGGCACGAAAGCGUGGGGAGCAAACAGG